rnacentral:tRNA from 1 species
CAGAGCAUAGCCAAGCCAGUAUAGCACCUCCCUUACACCGAGAAGACGCCCGUGCAAAUCGGACUGCCCUGA